rnacentral:tRNA from 1 species
GGAGAAGUACCCAAGAGGCCGAAGGGGCUCCCCUGCUAAGGGAGUAGGACGGGAUACCGUCGCCCGGGUUCAAAUCCCGGCUUCUCCGCCA